rnacentral:rRNA from 1 species
CCUACGGGAGGCAGCAGUAGGGAAUAUUGCGCAAUGGGCGAAAGCCUGAUGCAGCAACGCCGCGUGAACGAGACGCCCUUUGGGGUUUUAAGCUCUGUCAGUGGGUACGAAAAAUGACGGUAUCCACAGUGGAAGCACCGGCUAACUCCGUGCCAGCAGCCGCGGUAAUACGGAGGGUGCAAGCGUUGUCCGGAAUCAUUGGGCGUAACGAGUGCAUAGGCGGUAUGUAGCGUCAGGUGUGAAAGGCGCGGGCUCAACCGGUGCAUGUCACUUGAGACUUGCAGGCUGGAAUGCGGUAGAGGUAAAGGGAAGUCCUGGUGUAGCGGUGGAAUGCGGAGAUAUCAGGAGGAACAUCGGUGGCGAAAGCGCGUUACUGGGCCGUUACUGACGCUGAGGAACGAAAGCGAGGGGAGCGAAUAGGAUUAGAUACCCUUGUAGUC